CAACGUAGGUAAUCUACCUUUGAGUGGGGAAUAACAAUCGGAAACGAUUGCUAAUACCGCAUAAUGCAGCGGCAUCUUAUGAUGACAGUUGUUAAAGGAGCAAUCCGCUUAAAGAGGAGCCUGCGGCAGAUUAGCUUGUUGGUAAGGUAAUGGCUUACCAAGGCUACGAUCUGUAACCGACCUGAGAGGGUGGUCGGUCACACUGACACUGAAUAACGGGUCAG
rnacentral:rRNA from 1 species